GACGAACGCUGGCGGCGUGCUUAACACAUGCAAGUCGAGCGGAGCGGCGGACGGGUGAGUAACGCGUGAGUAACUGCCCCCCUCUCUGGGAUCACAGUUGGAAACGGCUGCUAAUACCGGAUAGUGGGGGGUGACUCGCGUCCUAUCAGCUUGUUGGUGGGGUAGUGGCCUACCAAGGCGACGACGGGUAGCCGGCCUGGGAGGGGGACCGGCCACAGUGGGCUGAGAGACGGCCCAGACGGCUACGGGAGGCAGCAGUGGGGAAUAUUGCACAACGGCGCAAACCCUGAUGCAGAAACGCCGCGUGCGGGAUGCUCGUCUUCGGGUGGUAAACAGCUUUCAGCCAUGACGCGGUAGUGGCAGAAGAAGCACCGGCUAACUACGUGCCAGCAGCCGCGGUAAUAC
rnacentral:rRNA from 1 species